rnacentral:ncRNA from 9 species
UUCUUUCAUGGGGAAGCAAAUUUAAGUGCCACCCAAGUAUUGGCUCAUUCACUAUAACCGCUAUGUAUUUCGUACAUUACUGCCAGCCACCAUGAAUAUUAUAUA